CCUACGGGAGGCUGCAGUCGAGAAUCAUUCACAAUGGGGGAAACCCUGAUGGUGCGACGCCGCGUGGGGGAAUGAAGGUCUUCGGAUUGUAAACCCCUGUCAUGUGGGAGCAAAUUAAAAAGAUAGUACCACAAGAGGAAGAGACGGCUAACUCUGUGCCAGAAGCCGCGGUAAUACAGAGGUCUCAAGCGUUGUUCGGAAUCACUGGGCGUAAAGCGUGCGUAGGCUGUUUCGUAAGUCGUGUGUGAAAGGCGCGGGCUCAACCCGCGGACGGCACAUGAUACUGCGAGACUAGAGUAAGGGAGGGGGAACCGGAAUUCUCGGUGUAGCAGUGAAAUGCGUAGAUAUCGAGAGGAACACUCGUGGCGAAGGCGGGUUCCUGGACAUUAACUGACGCUGAGGCACGAAGGCCAGGGGAGCGAAAGGGAUUAGAUACCCUUGUAGUC
rnacentral:rRNA from 1 species